UACGAAGGGGGCGAGCGUUGCUCGGAAUUACUGGGCGUAAAGCGCACGUAGGCGGUCUUUUAAGUCGGGGGUGAAAUCCUGGAGCUCAACUCCAGAACUGCCUUCGAUACUGGAAGACUUGAGUCCGGGAGAGGUGAGUGGAACUGCGAGUGUAGAGGUGAAAUUCGUAGAUAUUCGCAAGAACACCAGUGGCGAAGGCGGCUCACUGGCCCGGUACUGACGCUGAGGUGCGAAAGCGUGGGGAGCAAACAGG
rnacentral:rRNA from 1 species